GGGCCUAUAGUUUAAUGGUAGAACAGAGCAUUCGCAUUGCUCAGAUCCGAGUUCGAUUCUCGGCGAGUCCACUA
rnacentral:tRNA from 1 species